ACUUGAAAGAUGGGCGUCAGACUUGCAUACGCAGCAGAUCAGCAUCCUUCGCUGCCCCUUAGCAACUUAGGUGGUUGAUUUGAAACUGUGAAGGUGUGAUUUUUUCAGGAGCUGGAAGUCUUAGAAAAGCCUUGUAAAUGCCUAUAUUGUGGGCUUUUAACGUAUUUAAGGGACCACUUAAGACGAGAUUAGAUGGGCUCUUCUGGAUUUGUUCCUCAUUUGUCACAGGUGUCUUGUGAUUGAAAAUCAUGAGCGAAGUGAAAUUGCAUUGAAUUUCAAGGGAAUUUAGUAUGUAAAUCGUGCCUUAGAAACACAUCUGUUGUCUUUUCUGUGUUUGGUCGAUAUUAAUAAUGGCAAAAUUUUUGCCUAUCUAGUAUCUUCAAAUUGUAGUCUUUGUAACAACCAAAUAACCUUUUGUGGUCACUGUAAAAUUAAUAUUUGGUAGACAGAAUCCAUGUACCUUUGCUAAGGUUAGAAUGAAUAAUUUAUUGUAUUUUUAAUUUGAAUGUUUGUGCUUUUUAAAUGAGCCAAGACUAGAGGGGAAACUAUCACCUAAAAUCAGUUUGGAAAACAAGACCUAAAAAGGGAAGGGGAUGGGGAUUGUGGGGAGAGAGUGGGCGAGGUGCCUUUACUACAUGUGUGAUCUGAAAACCCUGCUUGGUUCUGAGCUGCGUCUAUUGAAUUGGUAAAGUAAUACCAAUGGCUUUUUAUCAUUUCCUUCUUCCCUUUAAGUUUCACUUGAAAUUUUAAAAAUCAUGGUUAUUUUUAUCGUUGGGAUCUUUCUGUCUUCUGGGUUCCAUUUUUUAAAUGUUUAAAAAUAUGUUGACAUGGUAGUUCAGUUCUUAACCAAUGACUUGGGGAUGAUGCAAACAAUUACUGUCGUUGGGAUUUAGAGUGUAUUAGUCACGCAUGUAUGGGGAAGUAGUCUCGGGUAUGCUGUUGUGAAAUUGAAACUGUAAAAGUAGAUGGUUGAAAGUACUGGUAUGUUGCUCUGUAUGGUAAGAACUAAUUCUGUUACGUCAUGUACAUAAUUACUAAUCACUUUUCUUCCCCUUUACAGCACAAAUAAAGUUUGAGUUCUAAACU
rnacentral:lncRNA from 1 species